CCUACGGGAGGCAGCAGUGAGGAAUAUUGGUCAAUGGACGAGAGUCUGAACCAGCCAAGUAGCGUGAAGGAUGACGGCCCUACGGGUUGUAAACUUCUUUUAUAUGGGAAUAAAAUGUUCCACGUGUGGGAUUUCGUAUGUACCAUAUGAAUAAGGAUCGGCCAACUCCGGGCCAGCAGCCGCGGGAAUAAGGAGGAUCCGAGCGUUAUCCGGAUUUAUUUGGUUUAAAGGGAGCGUAGGUGGAUUGUUAAGUCAGGUGUGAAAGUUUGCGGUUCAAACGUAAAAUUGCAGUUGAAACUGGCAGUCUUGAGUACAGUAGAGGUGGGCGGAAUGCGUGGUGUAGCGGUGAAAUGCUUAGAUAUCACGAAGAACUCCGAUUGCGAAGGCAGUUCACUGGCCUGCAACUGACACUGAGGCUCGAAAGUGUGGGUAUCAAACAGGAUUAGAUACCCUUGUAGUC
rnacentral:rRNA from 1 species